ACAGACCUCACAUCACGUCCCAUGUACCCAUGAUCACGUGUUUCCUUCACACCCUGGAGGACUAUCUUCCCUGAGAGUUCCAAGGCAACCAUUCCCAGUUCUGUCCUAUGCUCAUUCAUAUGAAGCUGGAUGAGUAGCAUGCCUUCUUCUCUAUGCUAAAGGUUCCUGCUCUGUUGGAGUUCCUGUCCUGACUUCCUUCAGUGAUGAAAAGUGACAUGGAAGUGUCAGCCACAUAAACCCUUUGCUCCACCAAGUUGCUUUGGUCAUGGUGUUUCAUCACAGCAAUAGAAACCCUAACUAAGAUACCAAAGCUAGCCUUAAACUUGCAAUCAUCCAGCCUGAGAUCCCUGAACAUCUGUAAUUGUAGAAUAUAUGCCACCAUGCCCAGCUCUGAUUCCUUUGAAUAGUUUUCU